AUCUUCAGGGCAGGGAGAAUUUCCCGACCGGCGGUAAAGUCCGCGAGCGCAUUGCACGAACCGGUUAGAUUCCGGUACCGACAGUAAAGUCUGGAUGAGAGAAGAU
rnacentral:ncRNA from 1 species